rnacentral:rRNA from 1 species
AGCAGCCGCCGCGGUAAAACGUAGGUGGCAAGCGUUGUCCGGAAUUAUUGGGCGUAAAGCGCGCGCAGGCGGAUAGGUCAGUCCAUCUUAAAAGUGCGGGGCUCAACCCCGUGAGGGGAUGGAAACUGUAUGCCUUGAGUGCAGGAGAGGAAAGCGGAAUUCCCAGUGUAGCGGUGAAAUGCGUAGAUAUUGGGAGGAACACCAGUGGCGAAGGCGGCUUUCUGGACUGCAACUGACGCUGAGGCUCGAAAGCCAGGGGAGCAAACAGGAUUAGAUACCCCCGUAGUCCCUGUCUCUUAUACA